AUGGAGAUGGAGCUGGCCGUCGUGAGCCACGGGAAGCGCCGGGGCCUGGGGCUGGGCAGGGUGGUGCGGGAGCACAAGGCGAGGCUCCGCAUCAUCUGCCGCUGCGUCGCGCUGCUCGUCUGCUACCGCGACUGA
rnacentral:rRNA from 1 species